rnacentral:rRNA from 1 species
UCUACGGGAGGCUGCAGUGGGGAAUAUUGCGCAAUGGGCGAAAGCCUGACGCAGCGACGCCGCGUGAGGGAUGAAGGUCUUCGGAUCGUAAAACUCUGUCAGCAGGGAAGAACGGUCACUGUGCUAAUCAGCAGUGAAUUGACGGUACCUGCAAAGGAAGCACCGGCUAACUCCGUGCCAGCAGCCGCGGUAAUACGGAGGAUGCGAGCGUUAAUCGGAAUGACUGGGCGGAAAGCGCUCGUAGGCGGGAUGUCAAGUCAAGGGGGAAAUCCCCGCGCUCAACGUGGGAACUGCCUUUGAAACUGGCAAACUGGAGUGUGUUAGAGGAUAGUGGAAUUCCAGGUGUAGGAGUGAAAUCCGUAGAUAUCUGGAGGAACAUCAGUGGCGAAGGCGACUAUCUGGCACAUAACUGACGCUGAGGAGCGAAAGCGUGGGUAGCAAACAGGAUUAGAUACCCGGGUAGUC